rnacentral:rRNA from 1 species
UACGAAGGGGGCUAGCGUUGCUCGGAAUCACUGGGCGUAAAGGGUGCGUAGGUGGGUCUUUUAAGUCAGAGGUGAAAUCCUGGAGCUCAACUCCAGAACUGCCUUUGAUACUGAGGAUCUUGAGUUCGGGAGAGGUGGAGUGGAACUGCGAGUGUAGAGGUGAAAUUCGUAGAUAUUCGCAAGAACACCAGUGGCGAAGGCGGCUCACUGGCCCGGUACUGACGCUGAGGUGCGAAAGCG